AACGAACGCUGGCGGCGUGGAUAAGACAUGCAAGUCGAACGAGAGAAUUGCUAGCUUGCUAAUAAUUCUCUAGUGGCGCACGGGUGAGUAACACGUGAGUAACCUGCCCCCGAGAGCGGGAUAGCCCUGGGAAACUGGGAUUAAUACCGCAUAGUAUCGAAAGAUUAAAGCAGCAAUGCGCUUGGGGAUGGGCUCGCGGCCUAUUAGUUAGUUGGUGAGGUAACGGCUCACCAAGGCGAUGACGGGUAGCCGGUCUGAGAGGAUGUCCGGCCACACUGGAACUGAGACACGGUCCAGACACCUACGGGUGGCAGCAGUCGAGAAUCAUUCACAAUGGGGGAAACCCUGAUGGUGCGACGCCGCGUGGGGGAAUGAAGGUCUUCGGAUUGUAAACCCCUGUCAUGUGGGAGCAAAUUAAAAAGAUAGUACCACAAGAGGAAGAGACGGCUAACUCUGUGCCAGCAGCCGCGGUAAUACAGAGGUCUCAAGCGUUGUUCGGAAUCACUGGGCGUAAAGCGUGCGUAGGCUGUUUCGUAAGUCGUGUGUGAAAGGCGCGGGCUCAACCCGCGGACGGCACAUGAUACUGCGAGACUAGAGUAAUGGAGGGGGAACCGGAAUUCUCGGUGUAGCAGUGAAAUGCGUAGAUAUCGAGAGGAACACUCGUGGCGAAGGCGGGUUCCUGGACAUUAACUGACGCUGAGGCACGAAGGCCAGGGGAGCGAAAGAGAUUAGAUACCCCUGUAGUCCUGGCAGUAAACGGUGCACGCUGGGUGUGCGGGGAAUCGACCCCCUGCGUGCCGGAGCUAACGCGUUAAGCGUGCCGCCUGGGGAGUACGGUCGCAAGAUUAAAACUCAAAGAAAUUGACGGGGACCCGCACAAGCGGUGGAGUAUGUGGCUUAAUUCGAUGCAACGCGAAGAACCUUACCUGGGCUUGACAUGUAAUGAACAACAUGUGAAAGCAUGCGACUCUUCGGAGGCGUUACACAGGUGCUGCAUGGCCGUCGUCAGCUCGUGUCGUGAGAUGUUUGGUUAAGUCCAGCAACGAGCGCAACCCCUGUUGCCAGUUACCAGCACGUGAAGGUGGGGACUCUGGCGAGACUGCCCAGAUCAACUGGGAGGAAGGUGGGGACGACGUCAGGUCAGUAUGGCCCUUAUGCCCAGGGCUGCACACGUACUACAAUGCCCAGUACAGAGGGGGCCGAAGCCGCGAGGCGGAGGAAAUCCUGAAAACUGGGCCCAGUUCGGACUGUAGGCUGCAACCCGCCUACACGAAGCCGGAAUCGCUAGUAAUGGCGCAUCAGCUACGGCGCCGUGAAUACGUUCCCGGGUCUUGCAC
rnacentral:rRNA from 1 species